rnacentral:ribozyme from 1 species
AAAAAAAAAAAGAGAGAGAGGGAGAGAGAGGGCAAAUAUGGAAAAAAGAAGAAAAAGUGAUUCAAGCUGGAGGAGAAUUGUGAAUUGCUUUUUUUUAUUUUCUUGU